ensembl:lncRNA
AUGGGCAGCUGGGGAGUGUAGGGGCUGAGGGAGCUCCCUGGGUGAAUUCUGCCUCAGCUCUCUGCUUCAGCCAACCUUUAUUGAGCAUUUACUGUGUGCCAGGCACUCGCACAAGCAAUUUGAACUUCAUCACCUCAUUUCUUCCUCUGGCAACGUUAUGAGCAGGUCCAGACCCUCUGCAAGGUGCCCGGGACUGUGGAGAGUGGACAGACAGGGCGCCUGCACUCGCACGGUUCCUGGCCUGAGGAUGACGGACAUUCGCAGAAACAGUUAUGCUGAGAGGACAGUCCCAGGAGCACUUCUAACGGAGCCCAGCCCCGACCUGAGGGUCAGGGUGGACGCCCUUGGGGACAACUGGGAACAGGCCUGGGGAAACAGACUUGCUCAAGCCAGUUUCAGUCAGUGGCCUCACCUCCCCAGGCCUCUUGUCUCUUGGCUGCUUCUCCUCUUGUCACAGCCAGCUCUGGUUGUCCCUGCAGGACAUCCACCUCUGUCGUUGAGAGGUGCCCUUGGGCUGCCACCAGGCCUCAGUCCUGCAGCUCCCAGGGGGAGGGCAUGUCCAGGCCAAUUCCUGGGAACCCACCCAGCCAGGUGCCCGCUGGCCGAGCCCUGGGGGAGGAGCCUCAGGACUCUGGGCCCUGGCUGAGGCUGGGGGAGGGGUGUCUUCCAUGACAGUGACCCCCCUCAUGCCUGAGCUCCCUCUCUGACCCUGCCUUCCCUACCCCCUGCCUCCUCAGCUCCCAAGGUUGUGGCCACAGCCCCCUCCUCUUCUCCUCUCUCGUUCUCUUGCCCCCGACCCAACCUCACCACCGCCACCACCCGCCUCAUAUAUCUCAUCUUCUCUUCUGCACCCACCUGUCACCUUCCUGCUCCUUAGUUCUGACCUCCGGGCAGUUUCAGCUUGGCCCUUCCAUCUGGAUGUCCCCAGAACCCCUCCACCUCACUGAGCCCCCAAACUGUUCUUUGAUCCAUUCAGUAGACAUCUAAUGGGCACCCACCAUGCCUGGCCCUUGUUGGACAUUCACAAUUCACAGGAAUAAAACAACACAGCCCACGCCCUCCUGGGGCUUGCCUUCUUCUAUGUGCUCAUUCACAGAUUCAUUCAACAAACACUUCUUAGGCUGGGGCAGGGGGUGGCCCCAACUGUCAGGAAAGCUGUAGUCUGUGCCCC